rnacentral:rRNA from 1 species
GCGGAGGAAAAGAAACCAACAGGGAUUGCCUCAGUAACGGCGAGUGAAGCGGCAUCAGCUCAAAUUUGAAAUCCGGUCUCACGACCCGAGUUGUAAUUUGUAGAGAAUGCUUCGGGCGAGGUUCGGUCUAAGUUCCUUGGAACAGGAUGUCAUAGAGGGUGAGAAUCCCGUAUGCGACCGGUCGCCUCUGCCCAUGUGAAGCUUCUUCGACGAGUCGAGUUGUUUGGGAAUGCAGCUCAAAAUGGGUGGUAAAUUUCAUCUAAAGCUAAAUAUUGGCCAGAGACCGAUAGCGCACAAGUAGAGUGAUCGAAAGAUGAAAAGCACUUUGGAAAGAGAGUUAAACAGUACGUGAAAUUGUUGAAAGGGAAGCGCUUGCAACCAGACUUGCGCGCAGCCGAUCAUCCGGUGUUCUCACCGGUGCACUCGGUUGCGCUCAGGCCAGCAUCGGUUUGGGUGGUUGGAUAAAGGCCUGGGGAAUGUAGCUCCUCUCGGGGAGUGUUAUAGCCCUGGGUGCAAUGCAGCCUACCGAGACCGAGGACCGCGCUUCGGCUAGGAUGCUGGCGUAAUGGUUGUAAGCGACCCGUCUUGAA